AAGGGAGCUUGCUCCCGGAUGUUAGCGGCGGACGGGUGAGUAACACGUGGGUAACCUGCCUGUAAGACUGGGAUAACUCCGGGAAACCGGAGCUAAUACCGGAUAGUUCCUUGAACCGCAUGGUUCAAGGAUGAAAGACGGUUUCGGCUGUCACUUACAGAUGGACCCGCGGCGCAUUAGCUAGUUGGUGGGGUAAUGGCUCACCAAGGCGACGAUGCGUAGCCGACCUGAGAGGGUGAUCGGCCACACUGGGACUGAGACACGGCCCAGACUCCUACGGGAGGCAGCAGUAGGGAAUCUUCCGCAAUGGACGAAAGUCUGACGGAGCAACGCCGCGUGAGUGAUGAAGGUUUUCGGAUCGUAAAGCUCUGUUGUUAGGGAAGAACAAGUGCGAGAGUAACUGCUCGCACCUUGACGGUACCUAACCAGAAAGCCACGGCUAACUACGUGCCAGCAGCCGCGGUAAUACGUAGGUGGCAAGCGUUGUCCGGAAUUAUUGGGCGUAAAGGGCUCGCAGGCGGUUUCUUAAGUCUGAUGUGAAAGCCCCCGGCUCAACCGGGGAGGGUCAUUGGAAACUGGGAAACUUGAGUGCAGAAGAGGAGAGUGGAAAUUCCACGUGUAGCGGUGAAAUGCGUAGAGAUGUGGAGGAACACCAGUGGCGAAGGCGACUCUCUGGUCUGUAACUGACGCUGAGGAGCGAAAGCGUGGGGAGCGAACAGGAUUAGAUACCCUGGUAGUCCACGCCGUAAACGAUGAGUGCUAAGUGUUAGGGGGUUUCCGCCCCUUAGUGCUGCAGCUAACGCAUUAAGCACUCCGCCUGGGGAGUACGGUCGCAAGACUGAAACUCAAAGGAAUUGACGGGGGCCCGCACAAGCGGUGGAGCAUGUGGUUUAAUUCGAAGCAACGCGAAGAACCUUACCAGGUCUUGACAUCCUCUGACAACCCUAGAGAUAGGGCUUUCCCUUCGGGGACAGAGUGACAGGUGGUGCAUGGUUGUCGUCAGCUCGUGUCGUGAGAUGUUGGGUUAAGUCCCGCAACGAGCGCAACCCUUGAUCUUAGUUGCCAGCAUUCAGUUGGGCACUCUAAGGUGACUGCCGGUGACAAACCGGAGGAAGGUGGGGAUGACGUCAAAUCAUCAUGCCCCUUAUGACCUGGGCUACACACGUGCUACAAUGGACAGAACAAAGGGCUGCAAGACCGCAAGGUUUAGCCAAUCCCAUAAAUCUGUUUUCAGUUCGGAUCGCAGUCUGCAACUCGACUGCGUGAAGCUGGAAUCGCUAGUAAUCGCGGAUCAGCAUGCCGCGGUGAAUACGUUCCCGGGCCUUGUACACACCGCCCGUCACACCACGAGAGUUUGCAACACCCGAAGUCGGUGAGGUAACCUUUAUGGAGCCAGCCGCCGAAGGUGGGGCAGAUGAUUGGGGUGAAGU
rnacentral:rRNA from 1 species